AUUAAACGCUGGCGGCAUGCCUUACACAUGCAAGUCGAACGGCAGCACGGGGGCAACCCUGGUGGCGAGUGGCGGACGGGUGAGUAAAGCAUCGGAACGUAUCCUGGAGUGGGGGAUAACGUAGCGAAAGUUACGCUAAUACCGCAUAUUCUGUGAGCAGGAAAGCAGGGGAUCGCAAGACCUUGCGCUCUGGGAGCGGCCGAUGUCGGAUUAGCUAGUUGGUGGGUAAAGGCCUACCAAGGCGACGAUCCGUAGCGGGUCUGAGAGGAUGAUCCGCCACACUGGGACUGAGACACGGCCCAGACUCCUACGGGAGGCAGCAGUAGGGAAUUUUGGACAAUGGGCGCAAGCCUGAUCCAGCCAUGCCGCGUGAGUGAAGAAGGCCUCGGGUUGUU
rnacentral:rRNA from 1 species